ACCGUUGUCCAUGCUCUGAACAGUAACCCACAAGGUUGACAAUGUUUUCAUGCUGAAGUUUAGAAAUAUUGGAAACCAUUUCAACAAAUUCUUGAUCACUUUGACGCUUGGUCAUAGCAGUGUCUAGUUUCUUGACCGCCAAUAGUUUUUUGGGAGACUCAGCUCUGUAGACUGUUCCAAGCAUGCCUCCUCCAAUAAGAUUAUCUUGAGAAAAGCUAUUUGUAUACUGCUGAAGAGAGGCAAUGGUGAAGAACUCUGCAGAGUUUACAUUCUUCAUAGCAUGCUUGCCUGAGGUAAUUAGCGGCAAAAUUGGAUUUACAACCAUCCUCUCAGCAGAAAGAGUUUGAAGAAAUGGUGGUGGCGGUGGUGGAAGAACAUCCGAUAUCAUUGACUCCAUCUCCGAGCCCAGCUCAUCAUCUUUAUAUGAUAUAGAGCUCUUCACGUCUUUCUGCAGCACAGCCUCUGAAGUAUUCAUUGACAUGUUCCUACCCUGAGCUUUCCCAUUUCCAGCCACUGGCCUCAAACCUGCUUCUUUCUCUGCAUCAUAACAUGGAUUUUGCAGGGAUUGAUCAUGUUUAGGGUUACCCUUGGCCUUGGGCAAACUAUGAUCAUAUGUUUCAUGUCUCUUGGUUUCUUUUUGGGUCUCUCUUCUUCUUUUGCAGAAUUGUGACAUCAAAAGGCAAACACCCAAUCCAAGUAUGACAAGGGAUACUAAUCCGGCUAUAGCAAUCAAUUUGACAUGUUUGGUUGAAUUACUACUAUUUUGCCCUUCAGAGGGCUGUAAUUCCUGUCCUGGCGGUACAAUAUAUGGCAGUGAAGGGGCUAAACCUGGAGAAAGCGCAA
rnacentral:misc_RNA from 1 species